rnacentral:rRNA from 1 species
UACGUAGGCAGCAAGCGUUGUUCGGAAUCACUGGGCUUAAAGCGUGUGUAGGCGGAUCGUUAAGUACCUUGUGAAAUCCCACGGCUCAACCGUGGAACUGCUGGGUAUACUGGCGAUCUUGAGCCACCUAGGGGCGAGCGGAACAAGCGGUGGAGCGGUGAAAUGCGUAGAUAUCGCUUGGAACGCCAAUGGUGAAAACAGCUCGCUGGGGGUGUGCUGACGCUGAGACACGAAAGCCAGGGGAGCGAACGGG